GACAGAGGGGGCAAGCGUUGCUCGGAAUCACUGGGCGUAAAGGGCGCGUAGGCGGGAUGGCAAGUCGGUCGUGAAAUCCUUCGGCUCAACCGAAGAACGUCGGCCGAUACUGCCGUUCUUGAGGGAUGCAGAGGAGAUUGGAAUUCCCGGUGUAGCAGUGAAAUGCGUAGAGAUCGGGAGGAACAUCAGUUGCGAAGGCGGCUCUCUGGACCAGCACUGACACUGAGGCACGAAAGCGUGGGGAGCAAACAGG
rnacentral:rRNA from 1 species